CGGUGCGUGAUGCGCUGCGGCGCCGAGAGAGGGAAAAGCGAAAGCAACCUUUCGCGUUAUUUUUCAGCAGGAAUUUUUUAAGCUGUUGGCUGCCGAGGGAAGCGGUGCGAGGGGGCGCUGGGACAGAAGUUUAAUGGAGAAGUCUUGCCUAGUAUGAAAAGGAAUACAGACCGUCUGCAUUGAGUGAUAAUAAGGAAAUACUGCUUAUUCUUUUCAGAGAUGGGAAAGUCUUCUCUAGCCUGCUGCUUCUCCACCUGAUGUAUCAAAAAUACUGAGUCCUCUCUAUGUCUCUUCUCCUGCUACUACCUGUUCCCUCGGAGAUGCCUUCUCUUCCCGGUUUAUCUGUUACUGCCUCCUAAUCUCUCCUGAAGAGUCUCUUCUUUGGUGAUACCCACAAGAUACUAACUACUGUUAAAAGGAGAAAGUUCAGCUCAGGCUUUGCAAUAUAUAUGCCUUUCAUGUGGCCUUCUCAGAGGUUUUUUACUUUAAAUACGAAGAAAUAGUUAAAGUUUAGCAGGUGAGUUUGUAUCCCUCAGACAGAUCUUCAGGUCCUGAAAAGAAUGGAUGGAAUAUGAAUGCAACAGCUCUAUUCCCAGUGUGAAAUCGUAUUGUUUGAGAAAUGGCUCUGCUUCCAUUCACUGCUAUGCACUGCUGUUAGAAGAAGUAGCAAGGGCCAUGGGCUGCAGUGGCUUUGGUGUUCUCACUGCACAUGUUUCUCAGACUGCUGUAGAGAGAAAGAUGUGACCCUGAAUGAGAAAGGAGGCUGUGUGUAGCUGAGGACCAGAUUCUUGAAGACACGAGUGCUACCAUUGAAAGUAAAUGUACAACUCUCAAUGGAUAUCUGGAUGCUUUGGAAAAACCCUGCUAGACACCGCUGUACAUUUUAGGCUGCUAAAUACUUUUACUAUCUGAUCUCCAAAUGAAUUUUCUCUCUAAGUUCUUUAUAACCCAUGUAUCAUGUUGUUGCUCAAUCCUCUGAGCCAGGCUAAAUGAUUACUGCAGGGUUGCAGAUGGCUGUCAGGACAAGUCUGCAGAGCAAGUAACAAAGAAUGAGAACGUCUGCAACAGGCCUGCCAUGGCUGAAAGUACAUGUUAGGGCCUGAGAUCACCUCAGAGCUCAUUUCCCCAUAGAGGAAGAGGCUUUGUGCCCUCUUCCCUCCUCUCCUCCUGUCUUGACCCUCCUCCCCUCACUUGCAGUGGCUUGUGUUUUUCAGAUGCUGCACCAAGCCAAUUCAGUUUACUGGAAUCUAAACAAAAUUAACCUGGAAAAAAAGGUGAAUCAUUUCCUGACAAGUUAUUGAGUUGACUCAGAAGAGCAACAGGGCUAAUGCAAAGGAUGGGACAGGAUUGUAUGGCUGGAACUGAGUCUAGGAGAAGGAAGAAGAGGAAAAGAAAAUGAGAUCUCUAUGGUAGUGGCAAGCUGGUAAAUCAGCUUUAUUGUAAUGGGCCACAACACCGUAAAUAAUAUGACCAAGUUCCAGUCAUACACAAUUCACUUUCAUAGCCUUCCUGCACAUGUUAGUUUUAUUUACCGUUACAGAUUUGUCUUUUACACAGUGACUGUACAUGGAUAAAGCUGUGACUACAGUAUUACAGAUUAGCCAGUGUGAUAGCAGCAGCAAUGGCUUGCUCUAAGGGAAGAUGGUCAAUAAAAGCUGGAUAUUUUGUAAUCUCAUCUCUCAGCUCCCUCCAAGAGAGGUCAGCAAUCUGUCUUGCCUGCUCCCGAAGACAUAGGAAGGCUUUUCUUCUCCAUUUUUUAUUAAUUUGCUUGUCUAAUUUUUUUUUCUAUCUAGGUUUCUGAAAAAAAAACCAACUUUUCAUCUUCCUCUCAAAAAUCUGUGGAGAAAGUAUGAGGCUAGCCAGCAAAUAAAUAAAUGGUAAUGAAAUGUACUUCCCAUGAAGGAUUUAGCAUGAUUCAAUUGGAGGAAAAGAGUGGAAGCUAAAGAGUGUCAGCAAUGAGUAAUCGCUCCAGUGUUCAAAGUUUUUUGAGAUUUUCUCAGAUAUUUUCUAUUUCCAUUGGAGUCAAAUGCAGUAUGUCCAUUGGCUGCAGUUAGAGCGAUUUUAAUCUCUUAAGUUUUGAACUGUCAUUUUUUAAAAAAAAUAUAAAAUAAUAAGACAUGAUAUUAUUUCACAACUGAAUCAAUUGUCUGGUGUAUGGAGUCAUCAUUCAUCAUAAUGGACACUCUGCCUUUUCUUUUAUGAUUUUUGGUCAAGCCAUCCACUUUCAGGAUCCUUCUAAUUGUAACAAGCUAAUAAAACUGCUGUUAAGGA